rnacentral:rRNA from 1 species
GAUGAACGCUAGCGGCAGGCCUAACACAUGCAAGUCGAGGGGUAACUAGAGUGAUAGCAAUAUUACUUUGGCUAGACCGGCGCACGGGUGCGUAACACGUAUGCGACCUACCUUAUACUGGGGAAUAACUUCGAGAAAUCGGCGCUAAUACCCCAUAACAUUGCGAAGAGGCAUCUCUUUGCAAUUAAAGCUCCGGCGGUAUAAGAUGGGCAUGCGUCCAAUUAGCUAGUUGGUGAGGUAACGGCUCUCCAAGGCUACGAUUGGUAGGGGUUCUGAGAGGAUGAUCCCCCACACUGGUACUGAGACACGGACCAGACUCCUACGGGAGGCAGCAGUGAGGAAUAUUGCGCAAUGGACGAAAGUCUGACGCAGCCAUGCCGCGUGCAGGAUGACGGCCCUAUGGGUUGUAAACUGCUUUUGUACGGGAAUAAACCCUUCUACGUGUAGGAGGCUGAAGGUACCGUAAGAAUAAGCACCGGCUAACUCCGUGCCAGCCGCCGCCGUAAUAC